GUGCUCACUUUGGCAGCACAUAUACUAAAAUUGGAACGAUACAGAAAAGAUUAGAAUGGCCCCGUACAAGGAUGACAUGCAAAUUCAUGAAGCAUUCCAUAUUUUU
rnacentral:snRNA from 1 species